rnacentral:rRNA from 1 species
UACGUAGGGUGCGAGCGUUGUCCGGAAUUAUUGGGCGUAAAGGGCUCGUAGGCGGUCUGUCGCGUCGGGAGUGAAAACUCAGGGCUUAACCCUGAGCCUGCUUCCGAUACGGGCAGACUAGAGGUAUGCAGGGGAGACUGGAAUUCCUGGUGUAGCGGUGGAAUGCGCAGAUAUCAGGAGGAACACCGGUGGCGAAGGCGGGUCUCUGGGCCGAUACUGACGCUGAGGAGCGAAAGCGUGGGGAGCGAACAGG